rnacentral:rRNA from 1 species
GAUGAACGCUGGCGGUAUGCUUAACACAUGCAAGUCGAACGGACUCUUCGGAGUUAGUGGCGGACGGGUGAGUAACGCGUGAGAAUCUGGCUUUGGGUUCGCGACAACCACUGGAAACGGUGGCUAAUACCGGAUCUGCUGAGAGGUAAAAGGGAAAUUGCCUGAAGAUGAGCUCGCGUCUGUUUAGCUAGUUGGUGAGGUAAAGUCUCAGCAAGGCAGCGAUCAGUAGCUGGUCUGAAAGGACGACCAGCCACACUGGGACUGAGACGCGGCACAGACACAUACUGGAGGCAGCAGUAGAGAAUGAUCCGCAAAGGGCGAGAGCGUGACGGAGCAAUACCGCGUGAGGGAAGAAGGCUCUUGGGUUGUAAACCUCUUUGCUUAGGGAAGAACAAUAUGACGGUACCUAAAGAAUCAGCAUCGGCUAACUCCGUG